rnacentral:rRNA from 1 species
UUCCUACGGGAGGCAGCAGUAGGGAAUCUUCCGCAAUGGACGAAAGUCUGACGGAGCAACGCCGCGUGAGUGAUGAAGGUUUUCGGAUCGUAAAGCUCUGUUGUUAGGGAAGAACAAGUACCGUUCGAAUAGGGCGGUACCUUGACGGUACCUAACCAGAAAGCCACGGCUAACUACGUGCCAGCAGCCGCGGUAAUACGUAGGUGGCAAGCGUUGUCCGGAAUUAUUGGGCGUAAAGGGCUCGCAGGCGGUUCCUUAAGUCUGAUGUGAAAGCCCCCGGCUCAACCGGGGAGGGUCAUUGGAAACUGGGGAACUUGAGUGCAGAAGAGGAGAGUGGAAUUCCACGUGUAGCGGUGAAAUGCGUAGAGAUGUGGAGGAACACCAGUGGCGAAGGCGACUCUCUGGUCUGUAACUGACGCUGAGGAGCGAAAGCGUGGGGAGCGAACAGGAUUAGAUACCCUGGUAGUCCA